rnacentral:ncRNA from 1 species
GGGGAGUGAAAUAGAUCCUGAAACCGUAUGCGUACAAGCAGUGGGAGCCCACUUUGUUGGGUGACUGCGUACCUUUUGUAUAAUGGGUCAGCGACUUAUUUUCAGUGGCGAGCUUAACCGAAUAGGGGAGGCGUAGCGAAAGCGAGUCUUAAUAGGGCGAUUGUCACUGCUUAUGGACCCGAACCUGGGUGAUCUAUCCAUGACCAGGAUGAAGCUUGGAUGAAACUAAGCAGAGGUCCGAACCGACUGAUGUUGAAGAAUCAGCGGAUGAGUUG